AAAUGUGUUGCAGAACAGUUAUUAGAGUUGGACAAAAAAUUUUUUUCAUAUCACACAAAAAUUUCAUUACCUCCCUUUUCAGAUAAUUUAUGAACUAAGAAAUAGAGAACGUAUAUCAGUUGCAGCAGCAUCAAAAUUACUAUCCAACAUUUUGUACAACUAUAAAGGAAUGGGAUUGUAUAUGGUGCACAUUUCUAACUUGCCUCAAUGAAGAAUGAAGAUUCAGGAGUUGCAAAUGCUUGGGGGGAGUUAGUGUGCAUGGAGGUGUGUCACCCUCCUAUUGGUGGAGGGGUUUUGCUGCAUGGUGACAUCAUCAUGCAGUGGCACAAAUUCAUGUGAAAUUAGGUGGGAGUUUUCACAAGGCUGGUGGCAUGUAAAUAUCUUUGGCAGAACAUGUGGAAGAGCUGAGUAAGACAGAUAAACUGUAUGCAGAUGUGAUUAUCUAUUGGAAAUACAUUUUCAGGGACCAGGUUUAUAUUAUGUUGACAGUGAAGGCAAUCGAUUUCCUGGUGAUCGUUUUUCUGUUGGUUCUGGCUCCACCUAUGCAUAUGGUGUAAUAGACAGAGAUUUUGACUAUAGUAUGACUGAUGAGGAAGCUUAUUAGCUGGGACACAGAGCCAUCUACCAUGACACUUUCAGAGAUGCUUACAGUGGUGGUAUUAUUCGAGUAUAUCAUGUGAAGGAGACUGGGUGGCAGAAAAUCAGUGAACAAGAUAGUGUGGAUCUUCAUUACAAGUAUCAAGAUGAAGUUUUUAGCUCUGAAAUGAAAUAAAUUAUUCUUUUUUCCUUUAUUUGUAACCAUAAUUAACAACUUUUGUUCAAUAAAAUUACCUAGUAUAUUAAA
rnacentral:misc_RNA from 1 species